rnacentral:rRNA from 1 species
UUGGAGGGCAAGUCUGGUGCCCGCAGCCGCGGUAAUUCCAGCUCCAAUAGCGUAUAUUAAAGUUGUUGUGGUUAAAAAGCUCGUAGUUGAACCUUGGGCCUGGCUGGCCGGUCCGCCUCACCGCGUGUACUGGUCCGGCCGGGCCUUUCCCUCUGUGGAACCCCAUGCCCUUCACUGGGUGUGGCGGGGAAACAGGACUUUUACUGUGAAAAAAUUAGAGUGCUCCAGGCAGGCCUAUGCUCGAAUACAUUAGUAUGGAAUAAUAGAAUAGGACGUGUGGUU